ensembl:lncRNA novel transcript
GAAUGUUAUCUCUCUCUCCAUCUGCUUGCCGUGGUUUUCUUUCUAGACACCUCUGAUGAUUGCUGCAUGUAUUCUGCCCAGGGUUUUUGGCUGUGAUCACUGGGAGAGAUAGAAGGGACUGUAUUUGCUCCAUCUUACCCAGCUCUGCAAACCUGCUGGAGAGUUUAAUUGGCAUAUGACUUCUAUCCUCAAAGUCACAAGAUGGCUGCUGGAGUUCCAGUCAGGAUGUCUGUACAGCACAGUGGAUUGAAGAGGGGGGCAGUGCUGAGUCAUUCACGUGGUGUGUGAGGGCUCCUGUUUGUAAAUCAGGGAUUCUUGCAGCCUGCUUUUUCAGGGACAUUGGCUGCUGUCUUCUGACCCACCCUGUGUGGCUUUGGCGUCUCCUGUGACCUCCCAGUAUGGGUCUUGGCCUCAUCCUGCCUCUUUGUCUUUCUGGCCCACCACCCACAGCUUGAAUCUCAGGCUCCAACAGUUGCCUGACCCCCAGAUUCUGAUGACAGCCUACCUACUUGUUCUUCAGGCCCUCACCAGACUCACUGCCCAGACACACCACACAGGAGAACAUGAAAGGCUAGUCCUGCUCCUGCAUGAGGUGCAGUAGCUCCGCUGAAGCGUUCCACCUCCUGGGACUCUCAGAGCUGCCAUAGGCUCUGCUGCUGGGGUGAGGGAGACCUCUCUGGCUCUCUGUCGUGCACAUGGAGCCACCAAGGCCAAAUGACUCUGGCUAUUUUUUAAAGACUACAAUGCUUUGAAUGAUGCAUUGGCCCACGUGGACCACCUUCCAUUUCCCAAGACUUUUUGAAGGCAAUGAAUGAGAAGAAAGCAGAGAAAACAGUGGGCGUGAGGUCAGAUGACUCAGGCUUGAGUACUGAUCACAUCAAGGAUUGGACGCACUGCUCUUAGGAAGGCACAACUUCUACUACUUUCAGUCUUAUCAACUGUGAGAGAUUACUCUCCUUUCCUUAUCCAACGUUAUCUACUAAGCUUUACCGUAUGCUGCAACAUCAGCUUCACAAUCAGCAUAGUUAUAUAAAAGUCUAUCUAGUGUUGAGUAUAUAAAGCAGGCUCAUUGUUUCCAAGAUGAAGACUUGGCAAGGCUGCAGUGUACCCUUGCUGUAGAUGCCACCCGCCCAGCAGUCCUCAUCAUCUUGGCCCAGGAUCACCUGAAACAGAUGAUCCUCCUUUUGAGCUACCAUCAGAAGGUCCACAGUACUAGCCCAGCGCUACAUCCCAAUGCCUACGCCAUUCAUCUCACCUCAUCUCAUCACGUAGACAUUUCAUCAUGUCACAUCAUCACAAGAAGGGAAUCUAUUCACAAAUAAGGUUUUGUGGAUUCAACAGCUUUACUGAAGAUAUGUAGAUUGUUGUUAGCGCUUCCUACCUUGCACAGCCUCUUGUCCCGUCACUGGCCCCAUGCAUCUUCCUCUGCUGCCUUCAAGAAGCUCCAGAUCCUGCCACAGACGUGCUCCACUCAGAGGACUGGAGUCCAAUCCCCUGACAGUGCUUUUCUCUUUGGGAAGCACCCCCUCCCCCACUGCCAUUAAACCUCUGGAAUUCUAUGGAAUAAAGUAAACAUUAACUUAUAA